rnacentral:tRNA from 1 species
GAGAAUGUAGCUCAGUGGUAGAGUGCUUGCUUUGCAUGCAAGAGCCCUGGGUUCAAUCCCUAAUAUCA